rnacentral:lncRNA from 1 species
AUUACAACCAGUAUGACUUGACUCCAAAAUAUUAAAUCCACAGGAUUAACAUUUAUAUUUAAAUUAAAAUGUCAGGUGUCAGCCUGUCAUACCAUUAGUGUGCGACAUGUUAUUUACGGAAACUGUCUUGAGUGAAGUAUAUCAUUGAUACAGAAGCAAAAGUAAAAUACUAGCAUCUUCCAUUUUCAGGGUUUUACUUGACUUGAAAAGUGAGAUGGCAAAAAGGUUCUUUUUCCGUAUUCCUGUAUUUCUGGGACAUCAAAAGUACAACACAAAAAGGUUUUAUGUGUUAAUCACAUACUCAGCCCAUCCUGAGUAUCUCCGUCUUUAUAGAUUACCGCUCAGACAGAGUGAAUGCAGGGGAACGAGUCCUUUAUUUGGCCUAGUCGGUGAAAAGGAGAGUUAUUUUAUUGUAUUAGAAUGGGCUUUACUUACUGCUCAGUGGUCGAAUACUUGUCUAGCAUAUGUGAGUUCUGUGUUUGAUUCCCCAGUUGGGUGGUGUGUGUGUACGUGUAUUUGACAUGAGAUACAGAGGAUAGGAGUAAUCCAUUCACUUUUCCUGUUUGUCUCCACUUGCUGUUGGCUUCGGUGAUAGCAAACCCCUUGUAAAUGCCAGGUGUUAAUACGUAGCC